GCUGGGUGUAGUGGCACACACCUGUAAUCCCAGCGGCUCAGGAGGCUGAGGCAGGAGGAUCACGAGUUCAAAGCCACCCUCAGCAACUUAGUGAGGCCCUAAGCAAUUCAGUGAGACCCUGUCUUUA
rnacentral:sRNA from 1 species